GAGCCUCAGUGCCCUCAGCCUGCAUUUGUGGAGUCUGAACUGGGUCCACAGCUGUUCUGCCUCAGUGUGGGGCCAAGGCUAACAAAAAGCAAAGCCUCUGGAAGAAGAGGAAGUGUUCUCUGGAUGCUGAAUGGGAGACCUUGAGGAGCAGCUACAUCUCCAGCCUGCUUCCUGCACCUGGUGGGGGACACAGUGCUUCUCCGCCUUCAGGAAACAGCCCACUUGUCAGCAGCUGGGCUCCCAGGAACAAAGGCCUAGGUUCAUUACCACAGUAUCGACCCUGACACGUUGCACUCGGGCCACCUCCCCCAGAGUUCCUCAAUUCACACCCCAAAUGAAGCGUAAUUGGACCUGGACAUCUUUGAAGUCCCCCGAGCAGCUUGCCAGCAUUUUGAAAUGUCCUUGA
rnacentral:lncRNA from 1 species